rnacentral:lncRNA from 1 species
AAGUAAUACUAAAACUGCAUGAUAUUCUCAUGUUACCACAAAUACCAAAAAAAAGAGCAAUUUGCAAACUAUUCCUAAGAAUGUCAUGCCUAACCAUGUGACCUAGCCAAGAAACUGAAUGAGAACAGAGAAUAAGCAUAAACACAAAUCUUGUCCAAUAGUAAGAUAUAGUCGCAACAAUAACCACCCAUGUAUAACAUCAACUGAACAAGGUUAAGACGCACAGUCGGAAUUAUGUAAACUAGAAAAUUAAGUAACCGGAAC